rnacentral:rRNA from 1 species
UACAGAGGUCUCAAGCGUUGUUCGGAUUCAUUGGGCGUAAAGGGUGCGUAGGCGGAUUGUUAAGUCGGGGGUGAAAUCCUGAGGCUCAACCUCAGAACUGCCUUCGAUACUGGCAAUCUCGAGUCCGGAAGAGGUUGGUGGAACAGCGAGUGUAGAGGUGAAAUUCGUAGAUAUUCGCAAGAACACCAGUGGCGAAGGCGGCUUACUGGUCCGGUUCUGACGCUGAGGCGCGAAAGCGUGGGGAGCAAACAGG